rnacentral:rRNA from 1 species
AAUCAACGCUGGCGGCGUGCCUCAGACAUGCAAGUCGAACGAUUAAAGCUCUCUUCGGAGAGUGCAUAAAGUGGCGCACGGGUGAGUAACACGUAAGUAAUCUACCUUUGAGUGGGGAAUAACAGUCGGAAACGGCUGUUAAUACCGCAUAAUGCAGCGGCACCGCAAGGUGACAGUUGUUAAAGGAGCAAUCCGCUUAAAGAGGAGCUUGCGGCAGAUUAGCUAGUUGGUAAGGUAAUGGCUUACCAAGGCUACGAUCUGUAACCGGUCUUAGAGGACGGUCGGUCACACUGACACUGAAUAACGGGUCAGACUCCUACGGGAGGCAGCAGUCGGGAAUUUUGGGCAAUGGGCGAAAGCCUGACCCAGCAACGCCGCGUGAAGGAUGAAGUAUUUCGGUAUGUAAACUUCGAAAGAAUAGGAAGAAUUAAUGACGGUACUAUUUAUAAGGUCCGGCUAACUACGUG